AGUGAACGCUGGCGGUAGGCCUAACACAUGCAAGUCGAACGGCAGCGCAGUAAGAGCUUGCUCUUAUGGGUGGCGAGUGGCGGACGGGUGAGGAAUACAUCGGAAUCUACUUUUUCGUGGGGGAUAACGUAGGGAAGCUUAGGCUAAUACCGCAUACGACCUACGGGUGAAAGCAGGGGAUAUUCGGACCUUGUGCGAUUGAAUGAGCCGAUGUCGGAUUAGCUAGUUGGCGGGGUAAAGGCCCACUAAGGCGACGAUACGUAGCUGGACAGAGAGGAUGAUCAGCCACACUGAAAUUGAGACAGGGACCAGACUCCUACGGGAGGCACCAGUGGGGAAUAUGGAACAAGGGGAGCGAGCCUGAGCCAGAUGUACCGCGUGGGUGUAGAAGACCGUCGGGUUGUAAAUCCCGUCUUUUGGGAAAUAAAAGGAUCAGGUUAAUACCGCAGUGUUCUGACGGUACCCAAAGAAUAAGCACCGGCUAACUUCGUG
rnacentral:rRNA from 1 species